rnacentral:lncRNA from 10 species
AGCUGCAGAUGUGAUGAGCAGUUCCUUUAACCAGUGAGGACUUCCUGUCUUAAGGCUCCUCAGCUCCUCUGCUUCAGAACUUUCUGCAAAACUGCAGAACCCACUUGGCCAAGUAUGGAGGAAUUAAUGUGAGGCUGGGAAGAAGGAGGAAGCAAAGGGAUCGAGUCACAGGAUGGCACCUGAGCAUCCCUGUCUCAGCUCAGGACUCCUUGCUGAGCUUCCUCCUACAGCUGAAGAUGUUGAAAGAGAGAGAGGAUGACGUCCUGUGAAUGUGCUUCAAGUCCUUAUCAGCUUGUUACUCUGGAAACGUGGUGAAUCUAUUCCGAGCCUCAGUUUUCUUCUCUGCAAAAGAUGGCCAAUAAUCCUGGAGUUUUGGAUGGUAUGGGGAAGAAGAAAAUGCCUGAUGCAUCCCUGCCCUCCUCACAUUUUUAGAAGAGACAGAGACUUGAUCUACUUCUUAGGAAAGGGCAAGACUGAAAGAAAAUUCAGGUCCAUCUCAGUGGCUCCCCACCACAGGUGGAGAGGCUACUACUAAUCAGACUGAUGCACACUACCAGUGGGUGCCUUAAAAGAACGACAGACUCCCAGCCUCUCUCUUGGCCUGUGGACAUAGACCUGUUUGCCUCACCUGGCAGGUCCAGCCAGGCGUCUUCUCUCUCAGUUCCAGACAAGGCAUCUGACGGUGUGGAUCAGCCAGUUUAGACCCAGGGUCCCUCUAUUUGAAAUUCAGGGCAAAAGGGGUAGAACAAGCCCCCAUUUCAGCUGGAGGAAGUGUGGCUUUUGGCACAGUUUUAGCACCAAUAGAGUUGAUUAUUUUGAUCAUCAUUUGGCAAUAGUUCCUUAUAUCCUUUUUUCAAGCAGAUUUCUGGACAAGAGGAACCCAGUCAGAACCUUUUCCAGAAGUAUUAAGUAACAUAGUAAAUAUGACCGCACCUGCUUUGACACUCCUCCUAUUGACAAGUGAGUCAAUUUCUCCUCUUCUUUAAUCUGGAGGAGCUCUGAGACUGCUUUGACCAGUGGAGCACAUGGCAGAAAUGAUGUUGCUCCAGUUUCUAGGCCCAGACUUUCAGAGACUAGCAGCUUCCACUUCCUGUCUCCUGGAUGCUCAUUCUGGGUUGGGGGGGCGGUGGUGCCAGCAGCUAUGUAAGAAGUCUCACUAUCUGAGAUCACCAUGCUGGAGGAAGCCCAGGUCAACCACAUGGAGACACUGUACAGAGGGAGCUGCUCCAAGAAUCCUCAACUGAUCCAGCCAUCUCAGCCUAGGGGUUGCAGUCAGGCUUUGAAUCCCAGCGACAUUCAUUCCGCAACAUACUAACCACAUCCUGGUGAUCCCAGCUUCAGAGAGGAGAACACGGGGACUUGAGUUCACUGUUGCGGUGAAGUCCUGCUCUGGCCCCAGGCAGAAGUCAAGAUCAAAGCUCACACUGCAAAUAUUGUGCUGAUUAAAACCAAACUUUCUGCUUUUGAUGUGGGCCAACCUCCAUUGCUGGUAGGAACAAAGGAGGAGUAUAGCAAAAAGAUACUAGCAAUGUUUUCUUAUCCUGGGUUACCACCUACAUUGUUUCUUGGGGAGAAGGAUGCCUGACUCCUACAGAGUAAUGAGACACAAGGAGGGUGCCUGAGCCAUUUCUACAGACUCCAAGAGGUUCUAACCAGCCCAGGUCACUUCCACUUUUGAGACCUGUGGACACGUUAUGAUGUUAUGAAAUGCCAGAGCAGGAUUACCAAAACUCUCACAUAUUUGUAAAUGCUUGUAUUUUGCAAAUGACCCUUAUUUACAACCAAAAUAAAACUUCGUUUGGGAACAAUGUCAAGAGUCUUAAUGUGAGGCCUUUUAUGAAUACAAGGCCUCCUGCUAAAUGGCCCACCUGCUUCCCCCUCAUAAGCCUGGUCAUAUCAGUACCCCCAGGAGCUUGGCACAUGGUUUUCACAUGGUGAAUAAUGAAAAAGUACUUCCUAAAUGAAUAAGUGCACACAUGGAUGAAUAAACAAUCUACAUGUCCUUGGGCUCUGCAUACUUCAUUGGGAAAAUAAUAAGGUGGCAACAGGGUUCUCUAAGAAGCGUGCAGAUUAAAGUUCCCCUCUAUGGUUGGCCAGAACCCAAAAAAUCACCUCACCAAUAGAUCUAAGGAACAGAAAUGAGGCCUUUUAAUUAGAAGUAAGAAUUAACAUUCCAGUUUUAAUAGUAAGCAUCUAAUACCAAUCUUCAACUAGGAUACAUUUCUACCACUAGAUUUAGAACGGGGAAGGACAGAACUUUCCAGGAGCCAUAGACUGGGUCCUUUGAAAGAAUUGCUACUAUGGUUUCAACUGCUGUUGUGUACUUCAUACAUGUUUUUGCAAGGAUUAGGAGGAAAUAGUUGGUUAAACAAAUCCUUACACCAUGGAUAAAUAGGGGCCUCAAAAGACUGACAAACAUGUUGAACUUGGAAAAAUCCCAAGACCAUGCAUCACAAUCUUGACACUACAAGUAUCUGUUCCCCACCCAACUGAGCAGAUGUUAUUGCUCUCAAAGCUCCAUUUUUCAGCCAAUGCCUCCUGCUAGAUUUACCCACUGAGGAUUUCUGAUUGAUAGCUAUAGAGAGGAGAGCCACCUUGAAGUUACAAUUUUUAAAAAAUCAGCCGCUAGAUUUUGGGUUUGAACAUCUCAAAACGAUAGGCCCCUUUCUCCCAAUUUGCCAUGGAUAUGUCCCAAACAGUCUGUGCAAGUCUGUGCUUCAGAUUCACAGCCCUUAGAAAGAGGAAAACAUAACUUGACAUCUACCUUCCUCACUGGCUUCAUGAAGAGGAUUAAUGAGUUCAUAAGCAUUAAGUACUUUGCAAGCCACAGGUGACUGGAAAACAUUAUUAGGACCACAUUUUUCCUAACAAAGUGGUUCAAGCUUUGAACAGAAGGUUAAAUCCCAGGAGAAAUAUCUACUUUUAAUACAGGAAGCUGGAUGCCUACUGUCAGGUAAUAGGAUGCCUGUUAAAAUGCCCUGGGUUAUCCAGUCACUAGUGACAGGGACAGAUUUAGACAAUAUGAGGGCAAGAGUAUCCCCCAAAGCACUGUUGAAAGUAACUGAAGUAAUAAGCAAUUCCAAUUAACAGUGGCAUCUGCAGCAGCAGCAGAAACACUUUGGUUAGACUGAUGUUUCUCUGAACUCACUCCCUUUCUCCAGUCUGAAAACCUUUGCUGUUUUGCAAACCACAGCUCUGUUAACAAUGUCCAGUCAUUUACUUCUGCCACAUCCAAACUUUGUGUGUGCACAAACAUGACCUAGUUGAACUGCAAUAAUUGUAUUUAUUUGAUACAACCCAGGUGGGUUCCAAGACUCCUGUUAGCAGGGAAAACACAAAGUCAUUAAGUUCACUUCGGGCUUAGAUAUGUCUCCUUCCUGUUCCCAGGAACAUUUCUUCCUGAAUCUAUAUUUACUCACAAAGUACAAAUAAUGUGAAAUGGCUAAGCAGCUAAAAACUUACAGAAAGAUCUCUACUACCCCCACAAAAUGAUAUUCUAUUUAUUUCGCAACCCAGGGUGCCUAAAACUCUAAAACAACUUUAGUCACCAAAAAAGGUGGAAACUUCAGAUGCAUUUAGGAAGGCAAUGACCUCUAAAUCAGGAAUCCUGACCUCUAAUUUCAUCAGUGCUCUGGCAUUUCUGCAAACUUUUCAUUUUCAGAACAAAAGGAUUUGUCUAGUAGGACAAUGAGGAGGAGAUUUUAGGAUGAGAAUGGAGGUAGGGAAAACACUUAUAAAGCUAUUGCAGGACUUCAGGAAAGACAUAAUAUGACUGAAAGAAAUUAGUGGUGGUGGGAAUUCAAACAUGGAUUGAUUUCCGAAGAGCAUCAGGCUUUUUGCUAGUAGCUGAGUCUUCAUUGCCAUCAAGAGUCCCUGUCUCUGUGAACACCCAACACACAUAUAAAUAACCUUGACAUAUAUUAACUGCUACAACUGUAGCAUGAAUAAAAUGUCUCAGAAUCACAAGUUGAGAAGCAAUUGAUUGAGACUGGAAUAGUCUAAAAAAACUGAAAAAACAAUGACAUAUUGAAUAGGAUUUCACCUAUAUCAGAAGGAGGGAAAUAGCUUUCUUGGCAGCAUGAUGCAUGCAUCUGUUUGGCAGGCUCAAUGCCUAGUGAGUCAUUUAUUCAUUUAUCCACUCCAUCAUUCAUUUGUUUAUUUAUUCAUUUAUUUAUCAGGCCUCUGCAGUAUGUUAGGCUCCACGUGGGGCCCUGGAUAUAUUAUAUUGAGUAAAGAGCAGUGGGCACAGAUGAAAAAGUAUUGGAUGUCAGGCUAUGAAGUUUCAGUCAUAUCCUGAUAGUCAUAGGAUCUAAUCAAGGAUUUUUGAGCAGGCAAAUGACAUGAUCACCACCUCUAUUAAGUAAAAUAGCUCUGGCCAAAAAUAAACUGUAAGGCUGGGCGUGGUGGCUCAUGCCUGUAAUCCCAGCACUUUGGGAGGUCGAGGUAGGCAGAUCACAAGGUCAGGAGAUUGAGACCAUACUGGCCAACAUGGUGAAACCCCAUUUCUGCUAAAAAUACAAAAAUUAGCUGAGCGUGGUGUUGUGUGCCUGUAGUCCCAGCUACUUGGGAGGCUGAGGCAGGAGAAUCGCUUGAACCUGGGAGGCAGAGGCUGCAGUGAGCCCAGAUUGUGCCACUGCAUUCCAGCCUGGCAACAGAGUGAGACUCUGUCUCAAAAUAAAAUGAAAUAAAAUAAAAUAAAAUAAAAUUGUAAAGUGGAGAGUUAGAAGCUGAUGACUGAGAGCCCAACUGUAGAAGAUAUUGCUGUAAUCUAGAAACAGGAUAAGAUCUGACUAGGACAAAGGAAGAGGGCAUAAAAAGAGGAAUAAAAAUUUGCAAGCUGUGGGUAAAACGAACUUUGAGAGAUAGGCAGGGACAGAGCCGGAGCGUUAGUUUUCUGGCUUGUGUUAAUAGAUAAAACAUUCGUCUGUUACCUAGAAGGGAGUUUGACAGGAGAGUGAAAGAUGAUAGUUUUGGUUUGAGGUAUGUCACGUUUGAGAAAUUUCUGGGUCGUCCAUGUAGGAACAUCCAGUGGACAUGCCUGAAGUUCGGGAUAGAGGCAAAGGCUAGAGAAAGGGAUUUGAGGGUUGUCUGCAAAAAACAAUAUAAUAUAUCCACGUAGGGCUCUAGAUAUAUUACAUUGAGUAGAGACCGGUGGGGGCUGAUGGAAAAGUGGUGGAUGUGUUGCAAAAAAGUAACAGUGGAUGACACCUGAUUAAAAGCCUAUUGAUGACAUAUAAGGAAUGAUGAUCUAGUUAAAAAAAAAAAAAAAAGAUCCGUGUCAGAGCAGGAGAACCAGGAAAGAGUGCUAUCACAAAGCCAACAAGGCAAGAAAGAAUUUCCAGAAAGAGGGCUGGUAUGCAGCAGAAAGUGCUGAAAACACAACUCCUUCUACAUUUCUUUUCACCCCACCACCAAAUUGGCUUGCCUCAUUUGCAGACAUAUCCUUGAAUAUCUCUUCUUAAGCUAUGCUUUAAUAUUUAUCUGUGACUAUUGCAUAUACAGUAGCUAAAUAUGAAACUCCAUUAACAUCAGUGUUUUCUGACUCCACUUUGGUGAGUCAUUCAACGUAAUCAGGACUUAGAAAUGAGCAACAGAUGUGUCACAUUCUUUGAGCAGUGCUCAAAGAAACCCAAAAUGGUCAACAUGUAAACUUUUCUAAAAUAUGUUUUCCUGACAUUAUGGAUGAUAAUGAGGUUUUCUAAAUUAUAAGUCAAAGCCAUUUACUUUAUAGCAUUUCCAGAAAAAUCUGAAUUGCAGAAAUGCCAUGUUUCCAAGAAACAGUAAUGGUUUCAACUCUGUUUUCUCUCUUAUGUCUUACUCUUUGGAUAACCAAUAGCAAAUUUCUGGAAGGGGAAAGCUGCAAAACCAAAUCAAACUGGCACCACAAAUGAUCAACUGACAUCUUCAUAGCAGUUUAGUUCAUGUUUAAAAUUGAAGAAUAAAGCACCAUACCUG